ACAAGCCCUGGAAACGGGGUCUAAUACCGGAUAUCACUUCCGCAGGCAUCUGCGGGAGUCGAAAGCUCCGGCGGUGAAGGAUGAGCCCGCGGCCUAUCAGCUUGUUGGUGAGGUAAUGGCUCACCAAGGCGACGACGGGUAGCCGGCCUGAGAGGGCGACCGGCCACACUGGGACUGAGACACGGCCCAGACUCCUACGGGAGGCAGCAGUGGGGAAUAUUGCACAAUGGGCGAAAGCCUGAUGCAGCGACGCCGCGUGAGGGAUGACGGCCUUCGGGUUGUAAACCUCUUUCAGCAGGGAAGAAGCGAAAGUGACGGUACCUGCAGAAGAAGCGCCGGCUAACUACGUGCCAGCAGCCGCGGUAAUACGUAGGGCGCAAGCGUUGUCCGGAAUUAUUGGGCGUAAAGAGCUCGUAGGCGGCUUGUCACGUCGGGUGUGAAAGCCCGGGGCUUAACCCCGGGUCUGCAUUCGAUACGGGCAGGCUAGAGUGUGGUAGGGGAGAUCGGAAUUCCUGGUGUAGCGGUGAAAUGCGCAGAUAUCAGGAGGAACACCGGUGGCGAAGGCGGAUCUCUGGGCCAUCACUGACGCUGAGGAGCGAAAGCGUGGGGAGCGAACAGGAUUAGAUACCCUGGUAGUCCACGCCGUAAACGGUGGGAACUAGGUGUUGGCGACAUUCCACGUCGUCGGUGCCGCAGCUAACGCAUUAAGUUCCCCGC
rnacentral:rRNA from 1 species